UACGGGGGGGGCAAGCGUUGUUCGGAAUUACUGGGCGUAAAGGGCUCGUAGGCGGCCAACUAAGUCAGACGUGAAAUCCCUCGGCUUAACCGGGGAACUGCAUCUGAUACUGGAUGGCUUGAGAUUGGGAGAGGGAUGCGGAAUUCCAGGUGUAGCGGUGAAAUGCGUAGAUAUCUGGAGGAACACCGGUGGCGAAGGCGGCAUCCUGGACCAACACUGACGCUGAGGCGCGAAAGCGUGGGGAGCAAACGGG
rnacentral:rRNA from 1 species